GAUGAACGCUGGCGGCGUGCCUAAUACAUGCAAGUCGAGCGAACGGACGAGAAGCUUGCUUCUCUGAUGUUAGCGGCGGACGGGUGAGUAACACGUGGAUAACCAAACUAUAAGACUGGGAUAACUUCGGGAAACCGGAGCUAAUACCGGAUAAUAUUUUGAACCGCAUGGUUCAAAAGUGAAAGACGGUCUUGCUGUCACUUAUAGAUGGAUCCGCGCUGCAUUAGCUAGUUGGUAAGGUAACGGCUUACCAAGGCAACGAUGCAUAGCCGACCUGAGAGGGUGAUCGGCCACACUGGAACUGAGACACGGUCCAGAUUCCUACGGGAGGCAGCAGUAGGGAAUCUUGCGCAAUGGGCGAAAGCCUGACGGAGCAACGCCGCGUGAGUGAUGAAGGUCUUCGGAUCUUAAAACUCUGUUAUUAGGGAAGAACAUAUGUGUAAGUAACUGUGCACAUCUUGACGGUACCUAAUCAGAAAGCCACGGCUAACUACGUG
rnacentral:rRNA from 1 species